AACGAACGCUGGCGGCAGGCUUAACACAUGCAAGUCGAGCGCACCGCAAGGUGAGCGGCAGACGGGUGAGUAACGCGUGGGAAUCUACCCAACCCUACGGAAUAACCCAGGGAAACUUGGACUAAUACCGUAUACGCCCUUUUGGGGAAAGAUUUAUCGGGGAUGGAUGAGCCCGCGUUGGAUUAGCUAGUUGGUGUGGUAAAGGCCUACCAAGGCGACGAUCCAUAGCUGGUCUGAGAGGAUGAUCAGCCACAUUGGGACUGAGACACGGCCCAAACUCCUACGGGAGGCAGCAGUGGGGAAUAUUGGACAAUGGGCGCAAGCCUGAUCCAGCCAUGCCGCGUGAGUGAUGAAGGCCUUAGGGUUGUAAAGCUCUUUCAGUAGGGAAGAUAAUGACGGUACCUACAGAAGAAGCCCCGGCUAACUUCGUG
rnacentral:rRNA from 1 species